UUCAUAUGUUUAGUCGGAAUCUCCUUUCCUGCAACUUGAAGCCAUUGGUUAGGGUCCUACCCUCCAGAGCAGGAGAAAACAAGCUUGCUCCAUCCUCCAUGUGGCAGCCCAUCAGAUAUUUGAAGAUGGCUAUCAUAUCUCCCCUCAGUCUCCUCUUUUCCAGGCUAAACAUACCCAUCUCCUUCAACC